UGGAGUGGGGAGUGGCACCUAGCAACAACAUCUGUCACCCCAUAAUCACCAGGACUGACUAGGCUGACUGAUUGAUUGAUUGGCUAGGCAGGUGUAUUCUUCCUCCCUCACCAUUUAAUGUGUGUCCUACCGAAAGCUUCACGCUGGGUUGAGCAGCCUUUACUGAUAGAGAGAAGCUCUCUUUGGCCAAGGGUAUGAGUGGCUGUGCUCUCUAAUAGAACUUCCAGAGAAGUGUUUAACUAAGCACCGUUAGCACUUUGUGUCAAGUAAUUCUUUGCUGGGGUAGGGGUGGGUUUGUUCUGUAUAUAGCACAUUCAGAAGCUUGCCUUGAUUCU
ensembl:misc_RNA 7SK 7SK RNA